AGCAGCCGCGGUAAUUCCAGCUCCAAUAGCGUAUAUUAAAGUUGUUGCAGUUAAAAAGCUCGUAGUUGAACUUCGGGGUUUACCCAUUGGUCAGGCUUAAUUGUCUGUACUGGUGAGAUGAAUCUCUACCUUCUGAGGAACUUUCAUGCCAUUUAUUUGGUGUGAUGGGAAAUCAGGACUGUUACUUUGAAAAAAUUAGAGUGUUUAAAGCAGGCUAACGUCUGAAUACAUUAGCAUGGAAUAAUGAAAUAGGACGGACUGAUUCUAUUUCGUUGGUUUCUAGGAUCACCGUAAUGAUUAAUAGGGAUAGUUGGGGGCAUUAGUAUUCAAUUGUCAGAGGUGAAAUUCUUGGAUUUAUUGAAGACUAACUACUGCGAAAGCAUUUGCCAAGGAUGUUUUCAUUAAUCAAGAACGAAAGUUAGGGGAUCGAAGACGAUCAGAUACCGUCGUAGUCUUAACCAUAAACUAUGCCGACUAGGGAUCGGACGAAGUUAAUUUAUAAUGACGCGUUCGGCACCUU
rnacentral:rRNA from 1 species